rfam:Nomascus leucogenys chromosome 5, whole genome shotgun sequence.
UAGCUGGUUGAUCCUGCCAGUAGCAAAUGCUUGUCUCAAAGAUUAAGCCAUGCAUGUCUAAGUAGGCACGGCUGGUACAGUGAAACUGCUAAUGGCUCAUUAAAUAAGUUAUGGUUCCUUUGGUCGCUGCCUCCUCUUCUACUUGGAUAACUGUGGUAAUUCUAGAGCUAAUACAUGCCGAUGGGCGCUGACCUCCUUUGCGGGGGGAUGCGUGCAUUUAUCAGAUCAAACCAACCAGGUCAGCCCAUCUUCUGGCCCUGGCCGGGGUGGGGGGGCGGGGCGUGCCGGGGGCUUUGGUGACUCUAGAUAACCUCCGGCUGAUCUCACGCCCCCCGUGGCAGUGACGACCCAUUUGAAUGUUUGCCCCAUCAACUUUCGAUGGUAGUCGCCGUGCCUACCAUGGUGACCACGGGUGACGGGGAAUCAGGGUUCGAUUCUGGAGAGGGAGCCUGAGAAACGGCUACCACAUCCAAGGAAGGCAGCAGGCCCGCAAAUUACCCACUCCCGACCUGGGGAGCUAGUGAUGAAAAAUAACAAUACAGGACUCUUUCGAGGCCCUGUAAUUGGAAUGAGUCCACUUUAAAUCCUUUAAUGAGGAUCCAUUGGAGGGCAAGUCUGGUGCCAGCAGCCUCACUAAUUCCAGCUCAGAUAGCAUAUAUUAAAAUUGCUGCAGUUAAAAAGCUCCUAGUUGGAUCUUGGGAGUGAGAGGGCGGGCGAGCCAUCGCCCAUCCCCGCCCCUUGCCUCUGGGCGCCCCCUUGAUGCUCUUAGCUGGGUGUCCCGCGGGCCAGAAGCGUUUACUUUGAAAAAGUUAGAGUAUUCAGGCCAGGCGCGGUGGCUCAAGCCUGUAAUCCCAGCACUUUGGGAGGCUGAGGCAGGCGGAUCACGUGGUCAGGAGAUCGAGACCAUCCUGGCUAACACAGUGAAACCCGGUCUCUACUAAAAAUACAAAAAAAAUUAGCCGGGGGAGGUGGCGGGCGCCUGGAGUCCCAGCUACUUGGGAGGCUGAGGCAGAAGAAUGGCGUGAACCCUGGGGGGCGGAGCCUGCAGUGAGCCGAGAUCGCGCCACUGCACUCCAGCCUGGGCGACAGCAAGACUCCGUCUCAAAAAAAAAAAAAAAAAGAAGAAGAAAAAAUUAGAGUAUUCAAAGCAGGCCCGAGCUGCCUGGAUACCGCAGCUAGGAAUAAUGGAAUAGGACCGCAGUUCUAUUUUGUUGGUUUUUGGAAAUGAGGGCAUAAUUAAGAGGGAUGGCUGGGGGCAUUUGUAUUGUGCCACUAGAGGUGAAAUUCUUGGACUGGCACAGGACGGACCAGAGUGAAAGCAUUUGCUAAGAAUGUUUUUAUUAAUCAAGAACGAAAUUCGGAGGUUCGAAGAUGAUCAGAUACCAUCACAGUUCCGACCGUAAAUGAAGCCGACUGGCAAUGUGGCAAUGUUAUUCCCAUGACCUGCUGGGCAGCUUCCAAGAAGCCAAAGUCUUUGGAUUUUUGGGUUCCGGGAGGAGUAUGUUUGCAAAGCUGAAACUUAAAGGAAUUGAUGGAAGGGCACCACAAGGAGUGGUGAGUGCGGCUCAAUUUGACUCAACAUGGGAAAACUCACCCAGCCCAUGGGUGAUGGUGCAUGGCCUUAGUUGGUGGAGUGAUUUGUCUGGUUAAUUCCGAUAACGAACGAGACUCUGGCAUGCUAACUAGUUAUGUGACCCCUGAGCAGUCGGCAUCCCCCAGCUUCUUAGAGGGACAAGUGGCAUUCAGCCACCCGAGAUUGAGCAAUAACAGGUCUGUGAUGCCCUUAGAUGUCCAGGGCUGCAUGCGCGCUACACUGACUGGCUCAGCGUGUGCCUACCCUACGUGGCAGACACGGGUAACCGGUUGAACCCCAUUUGUGAUGGGGAUCGGGGAUUGCAAUUAUUUCUCAUGAAUGAGGAAUUCCCAGUAAGUGCGGGUCAUAAGCUUGAGUGAAGUCCCUGCCCUUUGUACACAUCGCCCAUCGCUACUACUGAUUGGAUGGUUUAGUGAGGCCCUCGGAUUGGCCCUGUGGGGUCAGUCCACGGCCCUGGCAGAGCUCUCAGAAGACAGUUGAACUUGACUAUCUAGUGGGACUAAAAGUAGUAACAGAAGUUUCCGUAGGUGAGGCCAGGCACGGUGGCUCACGC